CCUGCACUUUUUCUUUUUUGUAAAUUGUUUUAUCUUUUGGUGAAACGGAUCUGGAGAAGAGUAACGAAAGAGGUGGAAGGGGAAUAAGACCGUAGAAGAUGAACGAGCUACCCUGUUCAACAAACAAAUAAAGCGGAAUAAGACAGCUGAUUUAGCCCAGUCUUUGGCCAUGUGAAGGAUGAAAACACCAACGAAAGCAACAAUUCUGGUAAGGAAUCUCUUUGAUCUGCAUGACUCAAUCUAAUUGGUUUGAUCCAAGUGGCUUGACCGGGAGAGACUUUGUUGGUUUGCAGUUAACAUUGGUGCAAAUAGUACGUUAUUGUUGACUUCUACAAGUUGAUUGAGCAUACACUAAUGAAUGAUUUUCAGUUUUAAAGAUUUCAUCGGCCAUAUGAAGCAAAAAGCUAAUCAUAUUUUUUCUGUAUGUCUUAUCGUCUUUGUUUUUGCAGGAACUUUGGAAACAAGUUAUAAAAGAAGUUUGUAGAUGAACUCAAUGCGCAGAACCUCUGUGUGGAACAUGAUUUCGUUUAUGUAAAGUCGUAUGAUUUCUAAAAGGUUCCAGUCUUAAGAGGAUUUUGAAGCAGACUGUAACCUCAGAUUGAUUUGUAUGAUGUCCUUGGCCACAUCAAGCUAAUCAAACUCUGGGCGAACCACCAGCCCUUGAUGGAAUAGAUGGAGGAAGCACUCGGCCAGUCUUGAUUUACCUCCAUGAUAAGAACAACGUUUUCCCGUUCUCGUGAUGGAGCUUAAGAUUACCAUUUACAGGGACAUGCUCCGAAUCUCUACCUGUGGGAUCAGCCUGCUGGCGAUUUCUAAGCUUCGCAACUCCUGUUGUACUGUUAGCAACAACAGUCAACACUAAACAUGUAGUAGGUAUCCAGUUAUAUUUUCUCCCUCCGUUUAAACCAUGAUUAACUUUAUGUUUAAAUUCUCAUUUCUUAAGUAGAUAGGGACACCUAUUUAACCUUGAUUUAAGUAUAGAUGGAGUGAUGGCAAAUAAGAUCGUUUCUAAAUUUGAUAGGAAUCAAAGAUAUGUAAGUUUAAUUUUCUUAUGACAUCUACGUUUUGUUGUUGUUUAGGAUGGUUAUCUCUCAAAAGAUCUGAUUACUUACCAAGAACAUGCCGGAGAAUCUACAAAUUCACAUCCGCCAUGCUCGAUGCAGGUCUGAAAAGCCAAAAAUGGUAGAUAUGUUUUUGCAUUUCUUAAGGAAAAUGAUCCUAUAGUAUACACAAAUAAACAUAUCUGUUAUGUUGUUUAUAAGUCACCAAUUUCAGUCCAAUGUAAUCUCUUUUAUAUAAUCAAUAGGCAAAGCCAUCUUCGGAUAAGUUUAGGGCUCUAAUGAAGCAUCUCUAAUGAAUAAAUUUAAUGAAUCUAAGGUUAUAGGAAAACAUUGAAGAGAUGACAUGAUGAAUUUUUUUGCAUACGUUUGUGGAAUUAAAAUAACUUCUAAAAAACAUACCUAUUAUUU